AUAUUGUGUCAUCUUCAUCAAAAUAAAAUGGAUAAAAAACAUAGACCCCACUACAUUGGUAUUUAAAGAGCACCAAUUAUGCUAAUAAAUUGGCACGUUAGCACGUUUUUGCAAUAUCCCAUAGUACAUACAUGUUAUUAAAACUUGAACUAAUGCAUUGUGAGUCUUAUAAAUUGCUUACAUACCUCACCGAUUUCUGCAUGUCUGGAAAACGCUCGGUUUAGUUCCUGUCUCCGCCUCCCAAAAUGUCUAGUGUAAUCGGAUUGGUCAGAUGACUACUCAACUGUUAUUGGUCAGCUGGGUUCGGCUUGUGUUUGAAAGGUUACGCCCCUGACUACGCGUGGGUUGACACAGAUUCUGACUGAGAGUCACAGCCUCAGAGGCAUCGUAAACAAGCGUUAUAUUUCUCUAUAAACGAUGGUGUCUGUACUGCCUUACCACUUCGAGCUCGAUCCAGAGAGUUCAGAAGGCUGUUACGAUAUAAACGAUCUCCGUCAAUGAAUGCGAUUGGAUUUAACUUUUUUAGGUGUCCUUAGCUCUGCCAGAAUGCUAAACGAAGACGAAAAUGUGUUGCAAAGACAUCCAAAAGGUUUUAAGGAGAAUGCAACAGGUUCCAGGGCCUCUUACCUGCGUGAUUCAUCAUCCAGGUUUUGCACAAAUUGUCUAAAUCCCUACACACAGAACAUUUAUUGUACCGACUAUAAGCCUUUGAGGCGCAGGACUAGAAUACGCUUGGAGCUUCCUGAUCGGAAUGUUGGCUUCCGACGACCCCUGCACUGAAGAUGGCAUGCAAUCACGUCCUCCUUUGAAGGUCUCUCAAACUGUGAUGCCAGGUCCAUUGGAAUCGGGGUUUCCUUCAGCUUAUCUUCAAAUACCUCAGCAAACACAAGCCUGAUCACAUCAUCCACAUAACUGUAGAAAUAUUGCGGUCAAUAAAUCUUUUGUUUUGAUCAUUUAUU